GCUAAUUAUUUUUUUAACGAUGCACUUCUAUCAAUAAAUAAAGAAUUGAAAACCGGAAUAAUCAGUUUUUUUAGUAUACAGAAAAAAUCGAAAUUCAUUGUGUCUCAGAGGUCACUCAAUGACCUCUAAAAUACUAAAAACAAGAUAUUUUAAACAAUUCUGCUUGAUACGAGACGUGCUUCCCCAGCACGGAUGGAGAAAUGGCCUAAUUACAAAUUCCGUAAUUAUCGUGUUCUAUUGCGAGAACGAUUGUGAGUGCUACAGUCGCAUUAAUAAUACUUAUCACUGUGGUCCAGACAUAUAAAUAGUUAAAUUGAAUUAUAGGUCCAUAUGCGCUGUGCAUACUUAUCUUAAUUAUCUGCAUGAAUAAAUUCUUGAAAUAUACGCAGAGCCGCGUUGCAGACGAAAUACGUGAACGGUCGAUUGCCAUUUUCAAGAAUAUCAUAACAGAAUAACCAAACAAAGGGACUCGUCAAAAGGGGCGACGACACAGAGGUCAAAGGGGUAGAUCAGACGACGUAGGAUAAGUGGUCGAUGCCCAUGAUGUGAUGGGUUUUGUCCCUCUGCCAUCAAUACUUGGCUCCAUACAUAUAUACAAAUACAUGAGUAUGUAUUUGCACUAUUUAUAUGGGUAAAGGAGCGUUGAGAAUCCAGAAAUAGACGUUUACCUGACUAUCGUUUGGCGUCGUACACAUCGGCUAUAAAUGGCGAAUUGGGGCUUAUAAAAAAAGUCAAUAAAAACUACGGUUUUCCUCGGCUCAUUCUACCUUUGCUCUGAUGCAGCUCAAACACGGGACGGACAUCCGUUGCGAGGAGAUCACAAGAGGAAAGGGGAGAAAUUGAGUGGGUGAUUAAUCCUUGAUUUUGUCCAUACGUGUGUGCAUACAUUGCCGGCUGUGGAGCAGUAUCUGGAGCUGCGUGAUCAAUACCGAGCUGUAACCAGUGUUACACUUACGUACGUCAGAGACCGAUACGAAUGGGACGAUUAAUUUAUAAGCGUCAGUUUGCCCUCUCACCGUAAUUGUAUAUAGUUUACAAGAGAGUGAGAGAGAGGUCGGAAUCCGAUAUUAGGAACGAUAUAUUUCAUGCUGUGUACCUUUUUUCCCCGAGGCUUUCCAUUUCUUUACAUCGUACCUCGGUACGAACCUCUUGAAAAAUCCAAUUGUUCCAAAAUAUUACUUCCGCGAGUAAUCUUCGCGAGAAGUACGAUUAAUGGCACGAUAAAUUUGCCGGAUUGGGUCUGUUGCCAUUUUGUUUCGUACGAGAAUAAUUCGUGCCGGGAAGCAUUGAGAUUCUUUGGGAUUAAAAUGUGGACAGUGAACAACCAAGUUUUUUUAUUCAACAAUUUUUUUUGUUGAUUCGAGUGAGAAAUGAGAUGGAAUAUUCAGUUGAAUCAGGAAAUUUGUUUUUUCGUCGAGGCGUCGUUGUUUGACGUUUUUUUUUCCAGGAGCCACACAGUUUUGUUGAAACGUUUGUCGAUAAAGGAUCGAGACUUUUGUCAAAUUUUUCUUUCCGUUCAUCCAUUUUUCCCAUGUCUUCGGACAAGUUUUAACCCUUAGGAAUUAACUGUCGGAACAAUUGUCAAUGAUUUUGUGUCACUCGACUGCACAGUUAAUUGAUCCUGCCCCAAGAACGAGCCUCUCCUUUGUUCCGAGGUAGUGCACAGCGACCAGCUGGUACGGGGAUGCUUCUAUGGAUCUAGAAUUGUCCAAACGAAUGGCAACGCGUCACUUGGGAAUCCUCGCCCUCCCUCUUUCGCAGUGUCUUCCAGAGACGUCAUGAAAUUUUCGAAACGAUUCGGGAUCCUGUAGGGAGUCCCACUGCCUACAGACAAAACUUAAUUAAUACAAGCUCCGAGAACAAUGACAAACAAGCUAUAGGGCAUUUUGCACAGCUAGCUCUAAAUGAAAUGGCCUCAAUUCAGUUAAUCUUCGUUAUACAUUUUUCCUUCAUCUGAUAAGCAAUACGAGUAUUCAUUGUUCCACAAAUCUUAUAAUUUCAUGCGAUCAUACUUAUUUUCAUUUAGCCUUUUUCAAUGAAACUUCUUAUCUCCGGUUUUCGAAGGAGCGAUAAAAAAUAACGUUUAUUGUUCCACAAAAAGCAAUAUUUUUUAUCUUAUUUAUGAAGAUGGUAGCGAAAACGACGUGGGACGGAAAGACCGGAGUCGUGGGCUGUAAUAUCCUUCAGCCCACAUCGUGAAAUUAUGAAAAAAGAAAUAAGACGUCACACGUAGUUUCCUAUGGAUUCACUGCAACUUUUUGUUGCUAAGCAGACGAGUGUCAAGGUGGAACAACUCAAGAUCGAUGUUAACACAUUUCUGGAAUUUUUGAUAUUUUUGUUUGAUGAUAAAUAGUCGCCAUUUUAGAUCCGCCAUCUUGAAUUUUUCAAUUCUGAGACCAAAAUCGUAAUGCAGCGACCCCACAAACCUUUAGAGCACCUAUGAUUUUGGAAAUUUUUUCAAUAAAAAAACGUGCCCCUCAAAGGGUUAACCGAUCGACAAUUCUUUGAUUACGUUCAUUUUGUCUGGUGAAAAAAAUCCUUCAAAUUUGUGGGGAUUCAAAUUCGAGGGAUUAGUAAGAAAAAUUUCCUAGUCACUUUUUCGAAAUAGUUUAGUAUUCUGAUUUGAAUUUUUGGAAAUUUUGUUUAUUUCUUCACAAUUUCGACGUAACAAGGAUUAGUGGAUUUUGAAGCAACCGAAAGAGAAUUUAGUGCAUUCGUCAACACUUGCAACAUUUUCAAAUAACUUCAACGAGAUUCGCUUGAAACGUCCCAUUUAUAUAAUAACAGAGUGUUAGAUCUUAUUGCGUGGGUUUUCUCAUUGUGAUUCCUCGCUGCGCCUCUCUCCCUGCUUUCUUGUUUUGUGUGGCUUACCGCCAAAGAACGGAAACCACUAUUGUACGCGUUUCGUAUUUACGUGUGAUGAGAACUCGAGCAUUGUGGAUUAAACGUCAGUCAUCCCACGGGGAGUGAAACGAAUGAAUUGAUAAACAGACUGUACUUCGUAUGCGUUUAUUCCUCUAAAACACACAUGUAAUAAUCUCUCGGUAACUUUGUAUGCACGUAGACAGAAAAAAAGCGAAGAAAAGUGCGAGGAACUGAAGAGAAUUGUCGAGAAGUUGGAGACUUUCCGUGUCAGAGAGGUCGCAGCUCGAGCACAUCGCACUUUCCACCUCCGUCAAAAACUCUAUUCGAGUUUUUCAUUUUACGAAUAUUCCGAAUAAAAUAAUGUAACAGACGAAACGAACUAAAUGAAUUCAUUGUCGAGACCAUUUUUCUAUUACCUCGUUAUGGGAAUUUCCUUGAAUUAAAAUUUAAAAAAAAUCCUUUAUUUUAUUGUUCACGUCGAAAGAUAAACUAUGCAAGGAUAUGUUUACAGAGUGAAAGAGACCAAUUCUAGAUAUUUUUAAGAAUAUAAAGACAGGAGCAGACGAGUGUGUCCAGUAGAACUAAAAGCUUUUCUUAGCAGCUUGCAGCAUCAAUGCUUAAGCAGUUUCGGUACAGGCGAUACAAUGUUACCAUGCUAAACCAUGCUAAAAACAUAAAAAAUUUC